CAGUCAGCGCAGCGUAAUAAUAGAAACUAACCAGGAUUCCCUUAGUAACGGCGAGUGAACUGGGAUGCCAAUAUAUAAUGUGUACCUCGCGUGCAUAAAUUAGCCCGUCGAUACUAUCCUAGCGUAUGUCACCGGUCUUCGGGUCGGUACUCAAAUACGCGGGAAUUGUAGCAUCGUAAUAAUUAAAAAUAUACAGCACACACACACACACACACACAUAAGAACCCACGCCAACCUGCGUACAACUUGUAAACACACAGCGUCUCCGCGUUGGAAAGCAAGUAUAUAUCCUCUUUGGAUAUGCCAUAGAGUAUGACAGCCACGUUUCACCCAUAUGAGUACGCACACACAUAUAUCAAUGGCGCGGCGUGCGAGUGCACAACGUAUAUAUACUAUAACCUGAGUCGAGUUAUUUGGGACUAUAGCUCUAAUAGUUUGGUCGGUGGUAAUGACACAUCAAAGGCCAAAUAUUGGUUAGUCGAUGCAUAUUGCGGAGACCGAUAGCAUACAAGUACCGUAAGGGAACGAUGAAAAGCACCCUAUUGAGUUCACGGCGCAGACUCGACAUUCGUGUCUUGUCCAGCGCCCAACAACUACAGUGGGAGUGAAAGAGAGAGUGAAAUCGCCUAUACAUAUAAAACAUAUGCACUACACACAGUAACUGCAUGCAGUCUGCGUUAGUACAAUCGGACAGAGUGUCGUAUAAAUAUAAUAUGGCCGCCUAAUACAUAUUUACACUAUGUACUAUGGCCUGGCCCAUAGCUGGGUUCAACCCGCUAUACGCGACACAACUGUACGAC
rnacentral:rRNA from 1 species